rnacentral:rRNA from 1 species
GACAGAGGGUGCAAACGUUGUUCGGAAUUACUGGGCGUAAAGCGCGUGUAGGCGGCUCGGAUAGUCGGGUGUGAAAGCCCUGGGCUCAACCCAGGAAGUGCACUCGAUACUGCCGAGCUGGAGUCCCGGAGAGGAUGGCGGAAUUCUCGGUGUAGAGGUGAAAUUCGUAGAUAUCGAGAGGAACACCUGUGGCGAAGGCGGCCUUCUGGACGGUGACUGACGCUGAGACGCGAAAGCGUGGGGAACAAACAGG